rnacentral:lncRNA from 1 species
UUUUGAUGAGAAUAAUGGAAGGUUUGCGGGGAAGAGAGAGUCACCAGCUUUUCUUUUUUCUUUUUGACGCUUCAGUUUAGUUAAUAGUUAUAUAAAAAGGGUUAAAAAGUGUCUGAAAUUCUUUUCCUAAAUUUAAACCAUGAUGGUGAGGUGACUGGGGAUAGGGUGGGAGUGGGGUUGGGUGGGGUAGGGGAAUGGGGAUGGGAUGCUAGUAAUAAAUGGGAGUCAUAACUUGACUUUGAUCAGAUGACUUUAUAUUUUCAUAAUUUUGUAGCUUGUUGCUAUCCAUAAACAUAUGCAUCCUUCAAUAGGCAGUUUCCUUCACUGUGUGCAUUUUUACUGUACACUGUAUAGAGUAGAGUAUCUGUUAAGUAAAAUAUAUAUGUAAAUUUAUGUCCUUGUGUUCUGAAUGUUAGAUGGAAAAGCAGAGGAGCAACACUACACUGUAUUGACCCCUGGGAAAAUAAAAUGAUUAAUGUACAUAGGAUGUCACUUUUUCAAGGAUAUACACAUCUAUGUUUUUAUAUAUGUGUGGUGUGAAAAUUUGAAACUUCCUGUUGGCUUCAGAAGGUUCUUGGUGAUCACUAUGUCAAGGAUUUUGUUUCCUGAGGUAAAGGCUGUUUCUCAAAAUAGAAACUGUUCGCUAAGAAACCUAAAACCAUCAGGACUCUAGAUUUACUUAGCUGUAAGAAGUUAAAUCCCACGUUCUGAUUAUCUUUUUUCUCUUCCACUUAUUUUCCUGGAAUGAUGUAUCAAACCAGGAUCAUUUUUAAGUUCAUGUAAUUCUCCCUUCACAAUAAUAAGGACUUCCUUUUUCUAGGUUAUUAUUAUAUUUCUGAUAACACUGAAGCUAAAAUAAGCUCAUAAAAGAAGGAAAACCUUACAAGGGGGUACCCAGAAUAAGCAAUCUUGCUCCUUCCUCCAUCAUCUCUAAUGAAAUUUUGAUGUCUGUGGCUCAGUCGGUAUAUAUUUUGAAAGAUUCAUUGUGGUGAAUAUUUUGAGUCCUGACAGUUUAAACGUGAUAGAGGGAACAAAGGAUUUAUAUAUUUUUUGUACAAAGUUUUUUCUUAAACUGUAUAAUUUUGUAAAUAAUUUGUUUGGUUUUUUUGUGUACUAAAACUACCAGCGUAUAGAUUUCAAUAAGAAUUGUUGUAUUUUUGUAUUUGGAAACUGAAAAUUACAGUAAAUUAAUGGAGCUGUAAGAGAAAAUUUUCAGUAGACAGUUCAGAAUGAGAUUCCUUUUCAUAUGAUUUUUUAACUUCAAAAUUGACAUCAUAUUACUCUCCGUAUAGAGAGAGAGAGGAAGAUUUAUUUGACUUUUUAGUUACUGGGGGAGAGAGGAUGAAAGAAAAGGGUGUUCAAGGAAAGAAUAGACAGACACUGUUUCCAGGAAGAUUGAGGCCCUUUCUAUAAAAUACAGUUUUCAAUACACCUUAAAAUUGGACUAAAAUAAUUUUAAAAUGUCCUAAGAUUUCUAUAACAUGUUUGAUUCUCCAAAGUGAAUUCCAAAAAGAGGUUAAAUAUAAUACUAGAAAAUUUGGUUAAGGUUAGCAUAAAACUGUUGAAUGUAUAUAAUUUUUUUCCUUUAGGAUUUUUUUACCCCCACCCUCAAAUCCCCAAGCUUUAGAAUUUCUCUUUAAAGGGGGUAACUACCAUGACUUGUUUUCCUGGCAUCUUCCCUUAGAGAAAUAACAUACUCCUUCUGAGGCAAAUUUUGUUCUUUUUAAUGAGUAUGACAUCUAAGAAGCUGAUGAGCAAUAACAGCCACCGGUCCGGUCUGGCUACUAGCUUAGUCUGGUUGGCUAGUGGAUUGCUACCCAGGCUUAAUAAGGUAACUCUAGGGAAUGCAGUUUCCUUCACUUUCUUCAUGUUUAUCGGGAAGACAUUGUUACCAGCUAAGAUGGUAAAUUGGGAAACAGUCUUGUUAAGGUAGGUCCGUGGUGAUGGAUCAUUAUUUCAAAAAGAAGAAAAAAAUCAUGUGAAAAGGAAUAGUGGUUCCUCUUGAUGUAUAGUAUGCCUGUAUUAUAGUUUUUACAAAAUUGUGAACUUGUGUAAUAGUAUAAUAGGAGAUAUUGUUGAAUUUCUAACUGUUUAUACAUUUAAAUUCAUAUCUGUAAUGUUUGUUUUACCGAUUACAAUCUGAAUUUCUAAGAAGCAUGUUGACUUUUGCAAUAAAGAUGCAAUAUGGAAUGGUUCACAAUUGGAAAAAAAAAA